rnacentral:rRNA from 1 species
UGGGGAAUUUUGGACAAUGGGCGCAAGCCUGAUCCAGCCAUGCCGCGUGAGUGAAGAAGGCCUUCGGGUUGUAAAGCUCUUUCGGUGGGGAAGAAAUUGCUUCGAAUAAUACUCGGAGUAGAUGACGGUACCCGCAUAAGAAGCACCGGCUAACUACGUGCCAGCAGCCGCGGUAAUACGUAGGGUGCGAGCGUUAAUCGGAAUCAUUGGGCGUAAAGGGUGUGUAGGCGGAAUGGUAAGUCAGGUGUGAAAGCCUUGGGCUCAACCCAAGAAGGGCAUUUGAUACUGUCAUUCUAGAAUUCAGGAGAGGAAGAUGGAAUUCCCGGUGUAGAGGUGAAAUCCGUAGAUAUCAGGAGGAACACCGGUGGCGAAGGCGACUUCCUGGCCCUAUACUGACGCUGAGACGCGAGAGCGUGGGGAGCAAACAGG